rnacentral:misc_RNA from 1 species
GGCAGAGUCCAACAAAUAAAAAAUUGUUUAUUUGAGAAUAUUCAUUUACAAGCACCUCUCCACUUAAAAAAAGCAAAGUAAAUCCUGAAGAUGUAAAUGAAACUAAGAAUUAAGAAACCCUAAUUCCUACCACUUGGCAAAAUAUUUAGCUCAUAAUGCCAGGCAAAAGCUGCAGGAUUAGGCUAUUGCCUCCUGGACUGGGUUCAUUACCCAUUGAAGCUUUAGCUUUAGUUUCUCUCUUGUUUCUUGAUUCUGUUCAGUUUGGUUUGGCUGAACUGAGAUCCUAUCUUGUAUCUUGAUUCUGUUCUGCUUAGUUUGAAUGAAUGAUCUCAGUUCAAAAGAGCUCAUAAUGCCCUGCAUAAUAAUCUAUCAUGAAAAAUGAAAAUCAUUUCCGCAAACACAAUCUUUUGGUAGUAUAAAAACAAAAGAAAUAAGCCACUCCCUACACUUCGCUUUAUAACGGGGGAAAAGAGAGUACCUCAAAAUCAGGUUGCUUGGGAAAUAAAAUGAAAAUUGCUGCUCCAUAUGCAACUCUUGCAGCUCCUCUUAAUUAAUUGGCAAAAUAUUGGAAUAGAAGAGUCCAUUCUAAAAAUCUAAAAAUCGCUCAUCAGUGUUUGUAUAAGGAUGGAAUUCUCUAAUUCUCGAUAUUCACUUCAAACAAUGCUUCAGAUUGCUAGGAGUAAUAAGUUAAUAACCGAAAAAGACACAAGGUCCAACAGUGAACUUAUCACUGCAUGCUAGAGUAUUAAACAACUAGCGGCAUUAAUAAUUGUACAGGAAAAUUAUUAUACAGUUGAUAUCUAAUUCUCUUCUGGAGCAGGCAUCAGCCGAAGCCUUCCCUCUGAUGGCUGAUUACCACCAGAAAACCUCUCUUCUGCCAAUAAAGACUGUAAAUCACUACCAUUGGCCAAACUGUUGAAUUCUACUGCUUUAGAUGGCACAGUUGGAUAGCGCCGUUGGCAAAAGGUCAUCAAUCUCUUGACCGACUGUAAGUAUUUGCGGGUAGUCUCAUCAUUCAUGAUGUGGGCCACGCUAUUGGUGUAAAUCUUCUCACGAGCUGAACGUUCAUGAAUGCCAACCAUGGUAACUCCAAUUGGCCACGGUGCAUUACCAAUUGCCAGCUUAAUAUAAUGAUCCAUGGCAGCUAGGUAGUCUCGCUUCAUGCAGCACUCAACCACCACUAGCAACGCUUGACGAAUAUCAUCAGGAAGAACCUACAGAAAGAAGGUAGCAUGAGUUGAAUGUAUGAUACUUAAAUAUCAAUAUAACAUAAACCUUGUAAAUGGAGAAAAAGUAAGAAAUAUAAUCUAUUUAUAUACAAUUUGAUCUCCAUGUGCACGAGUGCAUGCAUGCACUUGUGUGUGAGAGAGUGAGUGAGAUCAAAAUUUAAAGGGCUUGAAAGCAAAGAAAAACUAUUGAUCGACCAGCCAAAACUUAAAUAUGAAAGCAAAAUGAAAUUUCUUAGAUGCAAAGAGAUUAAACAAAAACAACUGAACAUAAACUGAAAGUUAGAUGAAACAAAAAGAUUAUAAGAAUCGGUAUAAAUAGAGGAAGGAAUAGACCAUUAUGCUUUCUAUGAUACCAAAUUGCCAAAUGCACAAUAUGCCUUUCGUUCACCCUUUAGGCUGCUUUUUUUUUGUUUUUGGUCUCCACGAUGCCUUCUUCCCCCUAUCUUUAACUUCUCUUUCAGAGGAAUCUUAUUUGAUAACUCCUACAUCAUUGGUAAUUGCCAGCGCUGUGUGCAUGUCGUAGCAUUGAUAUGUUCAAGUGAUUACAAUUUACUAAUCCAUGGCAUCCUUUAGCCCAUUUUUCUUUUGACAAGUGUUGGACUACCUUUCUCUAGUAAGUUUGGAACUGUGGCUUCAAAAAAGUGUUUAUUUGGUCAUUUUUGGGUGCUGGAUCCACCUAGACCUCAGUUCAAUUACACUCCCUUCUGCUAGAAAUAAAAGACAGAUAAAACAGAAGUUCAAGGUGCAAUAUUUCAGCAAUAAAACUACUCUGAAUAAAUAAGGUAGAUGUAGGCAAAGUAGAUCACUAGAAGUUACGGGCAGAUUAAGGUGGUAGGAACAAAUAUCAAGAUUCUCUUGGAUCCAUUGAUAAGCUUUAUGGCUACGAUUCCCAGUAUAAUGUAGCCUACUACCUCACUGUAUGAUACCCUUACAAACUACUUGCUGGAUUAAUUAGCAGCCCAAUGUUGCACCAGUAACAGGAAAAUUGCCUUGUUCCCUUUUUCCUUUUUCCUACUUUUCAAGUUUCUAAGGGAAUUUGUAACUGAUAAUUACAAUUUGUACUAAUUUAUACUGCUGAGAAACAUCCUCGACUCAUUUUAACCAAUUACAAGAAAAAUUUUACAUAACCAGAAGCUCCAUAUCAACAUUUAAUUGACAAACCAAUAUUGAAUUUGAAAUAGAAACGAUAUUCAAAGCAAUAAAUUAAAGCCAAAAUGCUUACCUUCUUCCUGCAAAACUUGAAUAAUGGAUUCAGAUACCUGGCGCACUGUUUAAAGGUAGCAACCAUUGACUUCCCUUUAGCCGUCCGCUUCUCUGCGUCAGGCAUCUCAUCCAACUCCUGUUUCCACUCAUUCAACAGCCUUUUGAAGAACACCAGAAUCUUAUCCUCAUCACACAACUCUUCAAAAUUGGCCUUCAUCCGCUUCAAAUCCUUAUCAGCAUCGACACCACUAGAGCCACCAUCGGCGCUCAGCUCCCCCUCCCCUUCCCCUACCUCUCCAUCCUCUCCACCUCCUUCCUCCCUAUCCUUCCUUUUCCGCUCGCUCAGAAUUCCGGUCUUCUGGCGCUUUCUGAGCUCAGCAAUAUCACGCAAAAAGUCAUUGGUCUGCCCCUCAGUCAUGUCGUUAUCGACCUCGAAGAUUCCAGCCUUCAAGACGUACUUCAACCUGUCAAGCCGAGCAUCGUCGUCUUCACCAAAGAGAGUGAUGGGCUGUUUUAGGAACCGAAGGCGGCGGAUGACCUCUUGUUUAGGGAGGACAAGGUUGUCGAUGUUUUGUUCAUCGGUUAGGGAUUUGGAUGUCGUGGGGAUGGAGGUGGAGGUGGUAGCGGUGGCAGUAGCAGUGGCGGUGGCAGUGGAUUUUGUGGAGGUUGUGGUUGUAGAGGCAGCUGCGGUUUGGCGUUGGGCUUUGGCUUCUAAUUCCCGCUUUUCUUCUUCGCGGAGCUUUUGUAUUUCUUUUUGUUGGAUUUCAGAGCGCUUGAAGACUCGUUUUCCGCCGGUGUCUUGAGCCAGGGAUUGACGUUUCUUGAGAAGUUCUUGCUUGAGGAGAUCCAUCUAGGGUUUGUCUGGUCGGCGAUGCUGAAGCCGAUGAGAAGGGCUGGUUGUAUUUUUAGGCUUGGGAAUUUGGGAAUCGGGAAUUUUUCCGGUCUAAACAGGUGGUU